rnacentral:rRNA from 1 species
GAUGAACGCUGGCGGCGUGCCUAAUACAUGCGAGUCGAGCGAACGGACGAGAAGCUUGCUUCUCUGAUGUUAGCGGCGGACGGGUGAGUAACACGUGGAUAACCUACCUAUAAGACUGGGAUAACUUCGGGAAACCGGAGCUAAUACCGGAUGAUAUUUUGAACCGCAUGGUUCAAAAGUGAAAGACGGUCUUGCUGUCACUUAUAGAUGGAUCCGCGCUGCAUUAGCUAGUUGGUAAGGUAACGGCUUACCAAGGCAACGAUGCAUAGCCGACCUGAGAGGGGGAUCGGCGACACUGGAACUGAGACACGGUCCAGACUCCUACGGGAGGCAGCAGUAGGGAAUCUUCCGCAAUGGGCGAAAGCCUGACGGAGCAACGCCGCGUGAGUGAUGAAGGUCUUCGGAUCGUAAAACUCUGUUAUUAGGGAAGAACAUAUGUGUAAGUAACUGUGCACAUCUUGACGGUACCUAAUCAGAAAGCCACGGCUAACUACGUG